rnacentral:rRNA from 1 species
GAUGAACGCUGGCGGCGUGCCUAAUACAUGCAAGUCGAACGAAAUACCUUCGGGUAUUUAGUGGCGAACGGGUGAGUAAUACGUAGAUAACCUGCCUAUAGGACUGGGAUAACUAUUGGAAACGAUAGCUAAUACCGGAUAGGUAGAACGAGGGCAUCCUUGUUCUAUUAAAGUUGGGAAACAACACAUAUAGAUGGAUCUACGGCGCAUUAGUUAGUUGGUGGGGUAAUGGCCUACCAAGACGAUGAUGCGUAGCCGACCUGAGAGGGUGAACGGCCACACUGGGACUGAGACACGGCCCAGACUCCUACGGGAGGCAGCAGUAGGGAAUUUUCGGCAAUGGGGGAAACCCUGACCGAGCAACGCCGCGUGAGUGACGAA